ensembl:lncRNA
UACUCUCCACCCUGAUCUCCUUCAGGGUUGCUGGAGGUCAGCAGCUGUGGCAGCACAUGAUUUAAUCCUUGCAGAGCUACUGACAGACAUCCCUGAAUGCAGAGCUGGGAAGAGUUGGGACAACCCAGCCCAUGAGCGGGUACAGGCCAGCGGCAGCACUGCCGCAGCAGGUGGCUCAGUGGUAAAGAAUCCACCUGGCAGUUCAGGCGACGUGGGUUUGAUCCCUGGUCCAGAAGACCUCACACGCCGCAGAACGACUAAGCCCACGGGUCACCACCACUGAGCCUGUGCUCUGGAGCCGGGAACCGCAACUGCUGAGCCCACCUGCCGAGACUGCUGACGCUGGAUCACCCUGGAGCCCGUGCACCGCCGCAAGAGAAGCCUCGCAUUGAGAAAUCCAGGCACUACAACUAGAAAGCAGCCCCUGCUCGCCGCAACUAGAGAAAAGCCCGCGCUGCUACAAAGACCCAGCACGGCCAUAAGCAAAAAUUACUUUAAAAAAUCUUCCUUCUUGACCUUUUAGAGCUGGACCUUACAUGCUUGGUUCUUUUUCCUUUUUG